GUGCUCGCUUUGGCAGCACAUAUACUAAAAUUAGAACGAUACAGAGAAGAUUAGCAUGGCCCCUGUGCAAGGGUGACACGCAAAUUCGUGAAGCGUUCCAUAAAAAA
rnacentral:snRNA from 1 species